GACGAACGCUGGCGGCGUGCCUAAUACAUGCAAGUUGAGCGCUGAAGGUUGGUUCUUGUCCCAACUGGGUGAGCAGCGAACGGGUGAGUAACGCGUGGGGAAUCUGCCUUUGAGCGGGGGACAACAUUUGGAAACGAAUGCUAAUACCGCAUAAAAACUUUAAACACAAGUUUUAAGUUUGAAAGAUGCAAUUGCAUCACUCAAAGAUGAUCCCGCGUUGUAUUAGCUAGUUGGUGAGGUAAAGGCUCACCAAGGCGAUGAUACAUAGCCGACCUGAGAGGGUGGUCGGCCACAUUGGGACUGAGACACGGCCCAAACUCCUACGGGAGCGAGCAGUAGGGAAUCUUCGGCAAUGGACGAAAGUCUGACCGAGCAACGCCGCGUGAGGGAAGAAGGUUUUCGGAUCGUAAAACUCUGUUGGUAGAGAAGAACGUUGGUGAGAGUGGAAAGCUCAUCAAGUGACGGUAACUACCCAGAAAGGGACGGCUAACUACGUG
rnacentral:rRNA from 1 species